UGGGGAAUAUUGCACAAUGGGCGCAAGCCUGAUGCAGCUAUGCCGCGUGUAUGAAGAAGGCCUUCGGGUUGUAAAGUACUUUCAGCGAGGAGGAAGGCGGUAAGGUUAAUAACCUUAUCGAUUGACGUUACUCGCAGAAGAAGCACCGGCUAACUCCGUGCCAGCAGCCGCGGUAAUACGGAGGGUGCAAGCGUUAAUCGGAAUUACUGGGCGUAAAGCGCACGCAGGCGGUCUGUCAAGUCGGAUGUGAAAUCCCCGGGCUCAACCUGGGAACUGCAUUCGAAACUGGCAGGCUAGAGUCUUGUAGAGGGGGGUAGAAUUCCAGGUGUAGCGGUGAAAUGCGUAGAGAUCUGGAGGAAUACCGGUGGCGAAGGCGGCCCCCUGGACAAAGACUGACGCUCAGGUGCGAAAGCGUGGGGAGCAAACA
rnacentral:rRNA from 1 species